UAUUCACUUUCCUCUAUCAAGGUAAACAAGUGUGCAAAGGAAAAGAUUUCUUCACCCUUUCUUUUCUCUUCCUCCAAAGAUAACUUUCUAUCGUUGAUUCCUUUCUUUUCCUCAUCCACACUCUAGAGUAAACAUAGCCUAAGGGUUCGAUCAUUUAAUCUGCAUAAUGUGUUUAUUAGUUGGGCUUAUUGUGUGAAGAUUGUAGUAUAGGAUUUCUCAUAUAUUUUAACCAGUUGUGUUUCAUCAUCUUUUCUUCUAUUUCUAAGUAAAGCACUUACAUGUAGAAAGGAUAUUUGCUAUACAAAAUUCAUGCAUUCCAAUUUAUCAUAAAUAGACAUAAUGUUCUUGUAAGGUGAUUCCAAUGUAAGUUGCACAUUUCUGGUGGCUGGAUUUGUUAAAAGCAAACAUAAUGAUCAUGCUAUAAAGUUAAAUUAUUUAAAUACUGCUUUACUUUGUAUUUAGACAUCCAAGCUUAGCAGUGAUGACAUAAUGCAUGUUUGUUCAUAUCUCAAUAACAAUCUCUUUAUUUCUUUCUAGUUUAUAUAUCAUCACAAGCUAGUAUGUUUAAUACCAGGGGAUUUGAAACCUUUCAUUAUAAGAUCAGUCCCAUAACUUUGGUUCAAUAAGCUAUAUGUGUUCUUACACUAGCACAAGACUCUUUGUUCAACAUUCUCAAGAUUUAUCGCAUUCAAAUGAUUUGAAAUUUGUUUUUCCCAUAUCAAACUAAAGCUAUGAAUGUGGCUGGACCUUUAACUACUAUGGAAUCAUUAACCGUGUCAAUAUGUACUGGAAUCUGAUUCAUUAGUUUAAGAUGACUAUUGGUGCUUAUGAGAUGUCUGUCUUAGCACUAUUAAUGAACUCUAGUAUUUUCAACAUGCUUUGCUUUGUUCACAUGCUUUUCUUUGGUUUACAUGGGGUAAAUUUAGAUUUGACCUUAAUUUUUCUUAAAGACGAUCCUUAUAGAGAAGAGUGAUAAUGCUUGAUGUUAGAUAAUACUUGAUGUUAGACAUUAAGGAUUGUAGCAACUCUUAAAGUAUAGUGUUGUUUGUUCUUUUGCAUUUACAAGUUCCUGCAUUUAUUGAUUGUGUAGUGUUAUUUGUUCAUUUGCAUUUGCAAUUCUAUGGAAUAUAAUUUGUUUGCUUACAAGUAUUUGUAGUUAAGGAUUGCAGCACGUAAUGGUGUUAAGGAUUGCAACAAGUCUUUAUAGUUUGUUUGCUUACACAUUUUAAAGCUUGUUUGCUUACACGUUUUAAAGUUUGCUUGCAAUAUUAAUGUUUGUUUGCUUACACCUGCAAAAUACCAAAGUAUUAAAUUAGUUUUUGAAAUGUUUGUUUGCUUACACCUGCAAUAUUAAGGUUUGUUUGCUUACACGUUUUCAACAAGUAUAUCUUACAACAACAUAUGCUUACACCUCCAAGUAUGCUGACACCUGCAAUAUUAAUUUGUUUGCUUACAAGUAAUUCUUUAUUAAGGUCAUGGUUCCAAGUAUUUACAAAUUGAACAGACUUUAUUUGCUCGUUUACAUUUGUAAUUCUUUGGAAUAUAGUUUGUUUGCUUACAAGUCUUUAUAGUUAAGGAUUGUAUUAAUGUAUAUUUUUAUUAAUGUUCAUUUUCAACGGACAUACUAAUGCAGUCAACAGAUUGUUAAGUUGUUACGUUUUAAUAUGUUAAGCUAUGCAUAUGAGUGUUGUGUUAAUUCAACAAAGCCAAUGCACAUGAAUUUGCAAGGCAUCCGAAGCUAAUGGAAGAAUCAUUCUGCUUUGACUCUCUCAAGAGGUCCCCAAGCAUAAAAAACUCAGCUACUCUAUCUCCCCUUGAGUUAACCAUAUCAUCCCUACUUAAAUGUUUUUGUUCCUUGAGAAUAUUCCUCAUAACAGAAUUAUAAAUAUCUUCCUCUAAUUUCUCAAGUGGUAUAGAAUCUUCUUGUCAUCCUCCAAUUUCUCAAGUGUUUGGACUUGUUUUCUAUAUAUAUUCCUACUACAUGCUAGUCAAUAUUAUAUUUUCAUUUGUGCAUGUACCAUUGGAUCUUGACUAUAAUUAAUGAAGAUAAGAAUAUGAUAUAUUUAUUGGACUCUUUGAGUAACAGGAACCGAGACUAUGCUUGACAAACUAUUGUGACAAAUGGGGUCAAGAUAUACAAUGCAUCAAGGGGUAUUUCAAAAGGACCAGGUUUUAAAUAAUUGACAGUAUGUAUUGUGACCAUGUAUUUAGACAACAAUUAAUAAUUUUUAUUAUUUGGAUUGUGACUUCUUGCAUGACAUUUUCAAUUUCAUUAGGGUAAUCUUAAAUAAAAUAAUGGUGUUCAAUGUGAAUAUUGUGUGAUGCAGUACAUGAAAGAGAUAGUCUUGGAUGAAGAUCCACAAUUGGAGAGAAAGUUUGCAGCAUCAAAAAAUAAACAGUAUUACAAUCAAUCUCAGUAUGAUGAAGUCAGAAGUGAAUGGAGCGAAUUCGUCUAUUUUUAUGUAGGUGCCUAAGUGUAGGCUAUGAUAUAAAUUUUAGACAUGUAUUUAGAGAUUUUUGGAUACAAAAGCUUUUGGGUUAUAGUUAAA